AAGCCGGCUAAUCUGAUCCUGGUUAACCAAAAGGUGGACUUCAAAAUCCAGAUCAUUCUUAUCCACAUUACAUCUUUUGAACAACUGCCCUGGCUCUACACUGAUGUUUAUGAGUGGAUAUGAGAAUUAAUAGCAGUGUAAUUUUCAAGGUUUAACAACAUUAUACAUUUUUAAGAUUCCAUUUAAUUCUCACACCCUGACUCACCCAUUCUUUGAAGAAUGAAGGUCAAUCAGGUAUAUUGACAUAAGACGAUUGCACGAUUGGCUUUAUUAGUAAGUAAGUAAGUAAGAUUUUUAUCAUGAGUGUGUAAUGGUCAAGUGUCCUGAUAAGGAGCACGUGAGGUGGACAAUGUUUGACAGAGUUGGUAUGAUGGAUCAAAGGUCUGAGUCUGUUUUCCUGUCAGAUCCACCUUCACACUUCAGAGGGAUUUCUGUCUGAGCGUGUGUGAGAGUCUCAUCUGGGCUUUGCAGUGCGUGUCAGCAUCCUGUCUUCAGCACCAUGGUGGAGUUGGCCUUCUAUCCGGCGGUGGCUCUGAUUUAUUUUUUUGGAGUGAUGAAAGCGACGCAGGACGAUCUGGUGGAGCUGGAUGACCAUGCAUCCAUGAAUGUGUUCUGCCUGUUUGUGUUGGCUCAGCCGCUGUGUCUGGUGCUGGGAGGAUACACUGGCAUGGCUACGUACCUCAUCACAGCUCUGGUCUCCUAUAACUUCCUGCCUUGGAGGAGUACAAAAGAGCCUAAAAAUAAAAAAGAAUCAAAGAAGAAGAAGACAAAGUGAUGACAAGGAUUUUACAUUGCAUGGAAUUGAAGAGACAGCAGAAGUAGGAAGAAAAGAAUAAUGAUUUUUGUAAGAGCAUGCAUUUAAUGUACAAUCUUUAUCUUUAUGAAUAAAAGAUUUUUUGCUACCUUGCCA